rnacentral:lncRNA from 1 species
AAUUCAUGAUUCUUAGAGUAUAAUCUGACAUGACACUAAAGAAGUUAUUACUCUGCUGUCCAUGGGGAAAAAUCUAUCUCUAAAUCUAUCUUGAACUCAAUAUUGCUGCAUUCGGCUGAAAAAAAUCUGAAGACCCAAAAGGAAAUAGUCACAAUGAACAAGGAGAGAUGAUUCAUGCUGUCUCUUACUACUUUGUGUCUUGACACACAGUAGCUACUUUUUCACUUAAUCAAAAGAAAGCAACCAUAAAUCUUCAUGUUUUAAAUGGAUAUUUGAAGUCUCACUUUGAAUACAAUUUUCAGAACAUUCUGGCAGGUCCCAUUUAUACUGAAGAGUUAUGUUAAUGCCAGUGUCUAGAAUUAGCUGAGAAGACUUGCUACCUUUCUUAGCGUUGUCCCUUGACAGACAACAGUGUUGUCCCCCCUUUAGAGGGACACCUGACAAUUCCCAGUUCCAGCUGGCAAAAGUUAGAACUGUUCUAGCUAAGCUUGGCACAACAUUAGCCAGCAGCUUUUCUUAAAGUGAACUAUUAAAGCUUCCCAACUUCAAAUCACUGGGAUACGACUGUCAGAGGGAAGGAGCCCAGUUGUUUUGAUAUUCUAGACAAUGAACUUGAUAAGAGUUAAAAAGGAUCAUCUUUGAAUCUUACCAGAAUAAGGGGAAUCCCUCAAUCUCAAAUUCAUUUGGGAGUUCACUGCUCCCCAAUACUCUGUUGAGGUUCAAGGGAUUCCUGUCUGCCAGACUCCAAAAGUAGGCCUAUGAGAUGGCUGCUCAGGAGCAUUACCUAGGAGCCCACAGAGCAUGAAAGUACCUACCACAGCAGGAGACAGGAGUAGCAGAGAGAGGUUUAAACUCGCAUUCUUCCUGAGAUGGAAAGGUUUCCUUUUGCUCCCUUUGAUUUUUCAGGAUGCCACAGAGGAAACAUCUCCACAGCAAUACUUAUGAAGAAGGGAAAUUAUGGACUGCAGCACCCCAGCCUAGCUGACUUUCAAGAAGGGUCACCCUACUGCCAGCUGUAUGACACCCUGAGACUGGCAGGAUGUGAUUCUGGAUCCAGUUUAUAUCUAUAUUUGCAAACUAACCAGGGCCAGAACAGAGGCUCAAGCAGAAGCGUACUGACACCCACAUAG